rnacentral:rRNA from 1 species
UACGUAGGGUGCGAGCGUUGUCCGGAAUUAUUGGGCGUAAAGGGCUCGUAGGCGGUCUGUCACGUCGGGAGUGAAAACUCAGGGCUUAACCCUGAGCCUGCUUCCGAUACGGGCAGACUAGAGGUAUGCAGGGGAGAACGGAAUUCCUGGUGUAGCGGUGAAAUGCGCAGAUAUCAGGAGGAACACCGGUGGCGAAGGCGGUUCUCUGGGCAGUAACUGACGCUGAGGAGCGAAAGCGUGGGUAGCGAACAGG